rnacentral:rRNA from 1 species
UAGCAAUACAGGUGGCGCACGGCGCACGGGUGCGUAACACGUGGGUAAUCUGCCCUCUGAUGGGGAAUAACUCGCCGAAAGGCGAGCUAAUUCCGCAUAACAUUCCGGGGACUUUGGUUCUUGGACUCAAAGGCGUAAGUCGUCGGAGGAGGAGCCCGCGCACGAUUAGCUAGUUGGUGAGGUAAUGGCUCACCAAGGCUAUGAUCGUUAGCUGGUCUGAGAGGAUGGCCAGCCACACUGGAACUGAGACACGGUCCAGACUCCUACGGGAGGCAGCAGUGGGGAAUCUUGCACAAUGGGCGAAAGCCUGAUGCAGCGACGCCGCGUGGGGGAUGAAGCUUCUCGGAGUGUAAACCCCUUUCGACCCGGACGAAUACCUCGCAAGAGGGGUGACGGUACGGGUAUAAGAAGCCCCGGCUAACUACGUGCCAGCAGCCGCGGUAAGACGUAGGGGGCCAGCGUUGUUCGGAAUUACUGGGUGUAAAGGGUUCGUAGGCGGUGUGGCAAGUCGGGAGUGAAAUCUCUGGGCUCAACUCAGAGACUGCUUCCGAAACUGCUGUGCUUGAGUGUGGGAGAGGCGCGUGGAAUUGCAGGUGUAGCGGUGAAAUGCGUAGAUAUCUGCAGGAACACCCGUGGCGAAAGCGGCGCGCUGGACCACUACUGACGCUGAGGAACGAAAGCUAGGGGAGCAAACAGGAUUAGAUACCCUGGUAGUCCUAGCCCUAAACGAUCAGGACUUGGGGUGCCACCCGUUCGGGUGUCGUCCCGGAGCUAACGCGUUAAGUCCUGCACCUGGGGAGUACGGUCGCAAGACUGAAACUC